rnacentral:rRNA from 1 species
UGAGGAAUAUUGGUCAAUGGGCGGAAGCCUGAACCAGCCAUGCCGCGUGCGGGAGGAAGGCCCUACGGGUUGUAAACCGCUUUUCCCCGGGAAGAAUAACCCCGACGAGUCGGGGGAUGCCGGUACCGGGGGAAUAAGGAUCGGCUAACUCCGUGCCAGCAGCCGCGGUAAUACGGAGGAUCCGAGCGUUAUCCGGAUUUACUGGGUUUAAAGGGUGCGUAGGCGGCCCUGCAAGUCAGCGGUGAAAUGUGGCGGCUCAACCCGUUUCGCUGCCGCUGAUACUGUGGGGCUUGGAUGCGGUCGAGGCGGGUGGAAUUCGUGGUGUAGCGGUGAAAUGCAUAGAUAUCACGAGGAACGCCGAUAGCGAAGGGCGGCUCGCCGGGCCGCGAUCGACGCUGAGGC